rnacentral:antisense_RNA from 1 species
GGAACCAGCCAUGCAAAGAUCUGUGACAAGAACAUUCUAGGGCUAGAAUCUAGGACCACUUUGGACAUUCAAAGCAAAGGAAGGAAAACGAAGGGGAGCAUGGGGGAGAUGAAACGCAAGGAAGGCAGAGUGUACAAUGUCUAUGUAAGCACAACAAGAAAGCAACUUAACUGCCUGCAGCAUCAGACCAAGUUCCUGGAUCAUAAGUUUGAAAGUAGCUUCUAGAUGACGCUUGUGGAUAUUUGGAAUAAUAUCUACUAAUUUCUGUUAAGCAGCUAUGUUUCAACUCCACUUCAAUAAAAACAGCCAAAUUUCUCUCCUGGAAA